GUCUACGACCAUACCACCCGGAAAACACCGGUUCUCGUCUGAUCACCGAAGUUAAGCCUGGUCGGGCGAAGUUAGUACUUGGAUGGGUGACUGCCUGGGAAUACGUCGUGUUGUAGGCU
rnacentral:rRNA from 1 species